AGUGGCGGACGGGUGAGUAACGCGUGGGAAUUUGCCUUUCGGUGCGGGACAACCAAGGGAAACUUUGGCUAAUACCGCAUACGCCCUACGGGGGAAAGAUUUAUCGCCGAAAGAGAAGCCCGCGUCGGAUUAGCUUGUUGGUAGGGUAAUGGCCUACCAAGGCGAUGAUCCGUAGCUGGUCUGAGAGGAUGACCAGCCACACUGGGACUGAGACACGGACCAGACUCC
rnacentral:rRNA from 1 species